rnacentral:pre_miRNA from 1 species
GAAUUACUCCUUCCAUCCGAAAAAGCUUGUCCCUCAAAUUGAUGUAUCUAGCACUUGGUAAGGGCUAGAUACAUCCCUCAAAUUGAUGUAUCUAGCACUUAAUGUAUCUAGCACUUGGUAAGUGCUAGAUACAUCAAUUUGAGGGACAAGCUUUUCCGGACGGAGGGAGUAUGUU